rnacentral:rRNA from 1 species
GACGAACGCUGGCGGCGUGCUUAACACAUGCAAGUCGAGCGAUGAAGUUCCUUCGGGAAUGGAUUAGCGGCGGACGGGUGAGUAACACGUGGGUAACCUGCCUCAUAGAGGGGAAUAGCCUUCCGAAAGGAAGAUUAAUACCGCAUAAGAUUGUAGUUUCGCAUGAAACAGCAAUUAAAGGAGUAAUCCGCUAUGAGAUGGACCCGCGUCGCAUUAGCUAGUUGGUGAGGUAACGGCUCACCAAGGGGACGAUGCGUAGCCGACCUGAGAGGGUGAUCGGCCACAUUGGGACUGAGACACGGCCCAGACUCCUACGGGAGGCAGCAGUGGGGAAUAUUGCACAAUGGGGGAAACCCUGAUGCAGCAACGCCGCGUGAGUGAUGACGGUCUUCGGAUUGUAAAACUCUGUCUUCAGGGACGAUAAUGACGGUACCUGAGGAGGAAGCCACGGCUAACUACGUGCCAGCAGCCGCCGUAAGAC